rnacentral:tRNA from 1 species
UCGGGGGGUGGGACAUGGUCAUCCUCCGGUCGCCGUUCGGGUCGCGCCGACCUCGGCGGCGCGGGGCGGGGUCCAGGACUCCCGCUCGUUGAGC